rnacentral:snRNA from 1 species
GUGCUCACUUUGGCAGCACAUAUACUAAAAUCAGAACGAUACACAGAAGAUUAGCACGGCCCCUGCGCAAGGAUGACAUGCAAAUUCAUGAAGCAUUCCAUAUUUAA